rnacentral:rRNA from 1 species
GACGAACGCUGGCGGCGUGCUUAACACAUGCAAGUCGAACGGAAAGGCCUCUUUCGGGGGGUACUCGAGUGGCGAACGGGUGAGUAACACGUGAGUAACCUGCCCUUGACUUUGGGAUAACUUCAGGAAACUGGGGCUAAUACCGGAUAGGAGCUCCUGCUGCAUGGUGGGGGUUGGAAAGUUUCGGCGGUUGGGGAUGGACUCGCGGCUUAUCAGCUUGUUGGUGGGGUAGUGGCUUACCAAGGCUUUGACGGGUAGCCGGCCCGAGAGGGUGACCGGCCACAUUGGGACUGAGAUACGGUCCAGACUCCUACGGGAGGCAGCAGGGGGGAAUAUUGCACAAUGGGUGGAAGCCUGAUGCAGCAACGCCGUGUGCGGGAUGACGGCCUUCGGGUUGUAAACCGCUUUCGCUCAUGACGAAGCUUUGUGUGACGGUAGUGGGUAAAGAAGCACCGGCUAACUACGUG